rnacentral:rRNA from 1 species
AGCGAACGCUGGCGGCAGGCUUAACACAUGCCAGUCGAGCGGGCACUUUCGGGUGUCAGCGGCGGACGGGUGAGUAACGCGUGGGAACGUGCCCUCUGGUUCGGAAUAACUCAGGGAAACUUGAGCUAAUACCGGAUACGCCCUUUUGGGGAAAGGCUUGCUGCCGGAGGAUCGGCCCGCGUCUGAUUAGCUAGUUGGUGAGGUAACGGCACACCAAGGCGACGAUCAGUAGCUGGUCUGAGAGGAUGAUCAGCCACACUGGGACUGACACACGGCCCAGACUCCUACGGGAGGCAGCAGUGGGGAAUAUUGGACAAUGGGCGCAAGCCUGAUCCAGCCAUGCCGCGUGAGUGAUGAAGGCCUUAGGGUUGUAAAGCUCUUUUAUCCGGGACGAUAAUGACGGUACCGGAGGAAUAAGCCCCGGCUAACUUCGUG